AACGAACGCUGGCGGCAUGCCUAACACAUGCAGGUCGAACGAGACCUUCGGGUCUAGUGGCGCACGGGUGCGUAACGCGUUGGAACCUGCCCUUAGGUUCGGAAUAACUCCCCGAAAGGGGUGCUAAUACCGGAUAAUGUCUUCGGACCAAAGAUUUAUCGCCUUUGGAUGGGCCCGCGUUGGAUUAGCUAGUUGGUAGGGUAAAAGCCUACCAAGGCGACGAUCCAUAGCUGGUCUGAGAGGAUGAUCAGCCACACUGGGACUGAGACACGGCCCAGAAUCCUACGGGAGGCAGCAGUGGGGAAUAUUGGACAAUGGGCGAAAGCCUGAUCAAGCAAUGCCGGGUGAGUGAUGAAGGCCUUAGGGUUGUAAAGCUCUUUUACCCGGGAUGAUAAUGACAGUACCGGGAGAAUAAGCUCCGGCUAACUCCGUG
rnacentral:rRNA from 1 species